rnacentral:rRNA from 1 species
GACGAACGCUGGCGGCGUGCUUAACACAUGCAAGUCGAACGGAAAGGCCCUGCUUUUGUGGGGUGCUCGAGUGGCGAACGGGGGAGUAACACGUGAGUAACCUGCCCCUGACUUUGGGAUAACUUCAGGAAACUGGGGCUAAUACCGGAUAGGAGCUCCUGCUGCAUGGUGGGGGUUGGAAAGUUUCGGCGGUUGGGGAUGGACUCGCGGCUUAUCGGCUUGUUUGUGGGGUAGUGGCUUACCAAGGCUUUGACGGGUAGCCGGCCUGAGAGGGUUACCGGCCACAAUAGACCUGAGAUACGGCCCAGACUCCUACCGUAGGCAACGGUGGAGAGUAUUACACAGCGGGCGGGAGCCAGAUGUGGCGACGCCGCGUGCGGGAAAACGUGCUGCUGGUUGUAAACCACUUUCGCCUGUGACGAGGCGUGAGUGACGGUAAUGGGUAAAGAAGCACCGGCUAACUACGUG